CAGCAGCCGCGGUAAUACCCGAGCCACAAGUGGUGAUCAUUUUUAUUGGGUUUAAAGCAUCCGUAGCCGGCCUAAUAAGUUUCUGGUUAAAUCCUUUGUUGAACAAAGGGCUGCUAGAAAUACUGUUAGGCUAGAGAUCGGGAGAGGCCAGAGGUACUCUUGGGGUAAGGGUGGAAUCUGUUGAUCCUAAGGGGACCAUCAAUGGCGAAGGCAUCUGGCCAGAACGACUCUGACGGUGUGGGAUGAAAGCUAGGGGAGCGAUCGGGAUUAGAUACCCCGGUAGUCCUAGCCGUAAACGAUGCCCGCUAGAUGUUGGUUGGUUUGUAGUAAUCAAUCAGUAUCGAAGAGAAAUCAAUAAGCGGGCCACCUGGGGAGUACGGUCGCAAGGCUGAAACUUAAAGGAAUUGGCGGGGGAGCACAUAAGAGGUGCGGUGUGCGGUUUAAUUGGAUUCAACGCCGAGAAGCUUACCAAGAGAGACAGCUGGAUGAAGGUCAGUCUAAAGGGCUUACCAGACUAGCUGAGAGGAGUUGCAUGGCCGUCGUCAGCUCGUGCUGUGAAGUGUCCGGUUAAGUCCGGUAACGAGCGAGAUCCACACCACUAGUUGCUACUGUUAAGAGAACUCUAGUGGGACUGCCUGCGUAAGCAGGAGGAAGGAGUGGGCGACGGCAGGUCCGUACGGCCCGAAUCUCUUGGGCUACACGCGCGCAACAAUGGUUAAGACAGUGGGAUGCCAUCUCGAGAGAGAAAGCAAAUCUCUAAACUUAACCUCAGUUCAGAUCGAGCUUUGAAACUCAGGCUCGUGACGUCGGAAUCUCUAGUAAUCGAACGUCAUCAUCGUUCGAUGAAUGUAUCCCUGCCCCUUGCACAC
rnacentral:rRNA from 1 species